rfam:Schistosoma haematobium scaffold4_15, whole genome shotgun sequence.
GCACUGCUGAGGAGUCGCAACAUAGAACGAAACGGCCGUCCAGUGC